rnacentral:rRNA from 1 species
AGUGAACGCUGGCGGUAGGCCUAACACAUGCAAGUCGAACGGCAGCACAGUAAGAGCUUGCUCUUACGGGUGGCGAGUGGCGGACGGGUGAGGAAUACAUCGGAAUCUACUUUUUCGUGGGGGAUAACGUAGGGAAACUUACGCUAAUACCGCAUACGACCUACGGGGGAAAGCAGGGGAACUUCGGACCUUGCGCGAAUGAAUGAGCCGAUGUCGGAUUAGCUAGUUGGCGGGGUAAAGGCCCACCAAGGCGACGAUCCGUAGCUGGUCUGAGUGGAGGAUCAGCCACACUGGAACUGAGACACGGUCCAGACUCCUACGGGAGGCAGCAGUGGGGAAUAUUGGACAAUGGGCGCAAGCCUGAUCCAGCCAUACCGCGUGGGUGAAGAAGGCCUUCGGGUUGUAAAGCCCUUUUGUUGGGAAAGAAAAGCAGCAGGUUAAUACCCCGCUGUUCUGACGGUACCCAAAGAAUAAGCACCGGCUAACUUCGUG